rnacentral:tRNA from 1 species
AUUUAUAUAGUUUAAAUAAAACAUUACAUUUUCAUUGUAAAAAUAAAUAAUAUUUUAUAAAUA